UACUAUAAACAUCACAGAGGUGGGUGAGCUGUUUGUGGACAAUUUUAGGGACACAAGACAAAACAUACUCACCAGAUAAGAUCAGAGUGAUUAUGAAUAUACUUCUUUAACAGAGAACACAAGUGCAGAGAUAGUCUGCACUUAUAUAGCGCUUUUAUCCAAAGCGCUUUACACUGUGUCUCAUUCACCCAUUCACACACACUCACACACCAACGGUAGCAGAGCUGCCAUGCAAGGUGCGUACUUGCCACCGACAGCAACUUGGGGUUCAAGGACACUUCGGCAUGUGAAGUCAUGUGGGCUGGGAAUCGAACCGCCAACCCUGCGAUUAGUAGACAACCCGCUCUACCACCUGAGACACAGCUGCCCCAUGAUAACGUGAGGAAUGGUUCCUGUGAACAAAGGCUGUUAUGGAUUUCUGAAGAAACAUGAGCCUGUCACAGCUACAUCACGAUGUACCAGAGUUUGAAGGAAGGCAGCGUCAACAGCAAUGCACAGAGCAGAAAACAGUCAUCAAAAGUGACAUGAAUGACAUCACAUGAAAAAUAAUCCAUGAGGUGAGAGGAACUGGUGGAAAUCUACAUGGACUUAGGAGAACAAGCAAAACUCCACACAUGAUUGAGCUCAGGAUCAGAUCAGGGACCUUGGAGCUGUGAGGCAUCAAUACUACCCACUUUGACACUGUGCCAAUAUGUGUUAAUAUGCUAAGGUAUAGGGUACUUGGUCUUUUCUACCAAUAGAAGGCCCAUUCUUUAAGGGGUGAAUUAACCAUCCACUGUUAUGCCGUUUGCACAGUGUGACCUACCUAAUACCCUUUCUCCAAGACCUCCCAGUUCCAC